UGGGGAAUCUUGCGCAAUGGGCGAAAGCCUGACGCAGCAACGCCGCGUGCGGGAUGAAGGCCUUCGGGCUGUAAACCGCUUUCAGCAGGAACGAAAAUGACGGUACCUGCAGAAGAAGGAGCGGCCAACUACGUGCCAGCAGCCGCGGUGACACGUAGGCUCCAAGCGUUGUCCGGAUUUAUUGGGCGUAAAGAGCUCGUAGGCGGUUUAGUAAGUCGGGUGUUAAAACUCUGGGCUCAACCCGGAGAGGCCAUCCGAUACUGCUGUGACUUGAGUUCAGGAGGGGAGCGGGGAAUUCCUAGUGUAGCGGUGAAAUGCGCAGAUAUUAGGAGGAACACCGGUGGCGAAGGCGCCGCUCUGGACUGAAACUGACGCUGAGGAGCGAAAGCAUGGGUAGCAAACAGGAUUAGAUACCCUGGUAGUCCAUGCCGUAAACGGUGGGCACUAGGUGUGGGUUCCAACUAACGGGAUCCGCGCCGUCGCUAACGCAUUAAGUGCCCCGCCUGGGGAGUACGGUCGCAAGACUA
rnacentral:rRNA from 1 species